GACGAACGCUGGCGGCGUGCUUAACACAUGCAAGUCGUACGGUAAGGCCCUUUCGGGGGUACACGAGUGGCGCACGGGUGAGUAACACGUGAGUAACCUGCCCACAACUUUGGGAUAACGCUAGGAAACUGGUGCUAAUACUGGAUAUGUGCUCCUGCUGCAUGGUGGGGGUUGGAAAGCUCCGGCGGUUGUGGAUGGACUCGCGGCCUAUCAGCUUGUUGGUGGGGUAGUGGCCUACCAAGGCGGCGACGGGUAGCCGGCCUGAGAGGGUGACCGGCCACAUUGGGACUGAGAUACGGCCCAGACUCCUACGGGAGGCAGCAGUGGGGAAUAUUGCACAAUGGGCGCAAGCCUGAUGCAGCAACGCCGCGUGCGGGAUGACGGCCUUCGGGUUGUAAACCGCUUUCAGUAGGGACGAAGCUUUUUGUGACGGUACCUGCAGAAGAAGCACCGGCUAACUACGUG
rnacentral:rRNA from 1 species